AUAGAAAGCCAGGAAGCCCCAGAGAAGUCAGGUGCGGGGCCAUGUAACAGCUGUUUAGUGACUACUACCAUCAGAGAUACAGUCCUUUAUUCAGUGCAGCCAUAGACACGACUCUACCAGGACUUUAGUUUCAUAGCUGGCACACAAGAUUGGAGCAAGAGCAAGGUGCUGCCUGUCUCACCUCAAUGUCAGCACAAGCUCAUGCCAUGCUGUCCAGCCAUACGGUAGCUGCCCUGCUUGCUGAGCAGCAGAUACAUGGAAUGAGGCACUGUCAGAAGAUGUACAAAUUUAAAUACUAAAAUUGGAAAUUAUUUUCUACCAUGGACGGAGCCUGUCUGUCAGCAAUAUUCCCCACUGGAGCCAGUCUGAAACGCUGUGUGUGUGUGCCUGGAAAAUCUCCAUGUGAGCACAAGGCUACAGGAACAGCCUGCAAAAUGUGAUGGCUCAUAUGCUUAGGUAGAUGGACUCUUAAUUCCUGGAGAUGUAGCUGAGGUGGCAGAACAGGGAGAAGGGAAUCUCUCCUCACCACGUUUCACAGCUGAAAUUUCCAUUUACGACUCUAUUCUGAACACAGUGCUCUAAUGGGAAGAAAAUGGGAAUUUGUUGCAGACAAUCAUGCUGUGCUCCAGCAGCAGCUUCCCUCGGGGUGGGAUGCUGGCCAUGCUGACUGUGAUGGCAAAGCUCCCCUCAGCUUCAACAGAGCCAGAAUUUCAGCUGCUCUGUCCCACAUUGGAAGCUCUGAACCACACAGAAUAACCUGGGCUUUCGAAACCAGAGUUACUAUUAUUUGCUUUUAAUGCUUAUACUCCAAUUACUUCUUCCAUCUAUGUUGAUUCAAAACCUGAAAUUUCUAACUAAUGGCCUACUUCCUCUCUAUGCUUACGUACAUAAACAUAAAUACUGUAUUUUUCCAUUCAAGGACUGCAUUUAUUUUUUCCGAUAGCAUCAUCUUUGAUGGCUUUAUGAAAUUAAUAAUCCCAUACAAAGAAAACAAAAAUAUUUUCCUGUGAAUAACUUCCAUCUCUCAGUAGAAUAUUUAAAUCAAUUUGACGCUUCACCUCAAGUCAGACAUUCCAUCUUGUGACAUAUGGCCAAGCACCUCCAACGCAGCUGGGAGCACGCGUUCUCACAUGACAAAUCUGCAUAACAGGCUCUGAAAGAGAGCAAACACGUCUAAAUCGGGGAAAUCACAGCUCCUGACCUGGAAGAAGGCAUACAGUGCCAUUAACUCAAUAACACCUACAGAUAUCCUCUGCCCUUGGGGAGAAACCAAGAGACACCUGCAGGCUCCAGGGAUGAAGACGGCUUUGGGGCAUGGUGACCUCUGCUUGAAGUUCAAGAGCAAAGCAAAUCCUGCACAUGAAAACCAGACCAAUCUCUAUGAAAAAGGGGGCAUGAACCAGCUGGGCUCACAUGAUGAGCACUAUUUUGUGGCUAGCAAGAAAUCUCUGUGUUUUGGGGUCUCUUUCCUCGUUGCUGGUUUCCUAGUGGAAAGAGGAUAUAUCAUUCAAUUCUCUCCCUGUUUGGCAAUAAAACAUGCUCACAUGCCC
ensembl:lncRNA